rnacentral:rRNA from 1 species
CCUACGGGUGGCUGCAGUCGAGAAUCUUCGGCAAUGGGGGAAACCCUGACCGAGCGACGCCGCGUGCGAGAUGAAGGCCUUCGGGUUGUAAAUCGCUGUCAGAGGGGAGGAAAUGUCGGUGGGUUCUCCCACCGAUUUGACCUAUCCUCAGAGGAAGGACGGGCUAAGUUCGUGCCAGCAGCCGCGGUAAGACGAACCGUCCAAACGUUAUUCGGAAACACUGGGCUUGGAGGGUGCGUAGGCGGGGCGUGAAAGCCCUCGGCUCAAACGAGGAAUUGCGUCCAAAACUGCCGGACUUGAGGGAGACAUAGGUGAGCGGAACUUAGGGUGGAGCGGUGAAAUGCGUUGAGAUCCUAAGGAACACCAGUAGCGAAAGCGGCUCACUGGGUCUCUUCUGACGCUGAUGCACGAAAGCUAGGGGAGCGAAGAGGAUUAGAUACCCCUGUAGUC